CUGUGGAAAACCAGUGCUCUGUCCCUUUAACUGAGUCACUUCCUGUAAACUUUUCAUUGAAAAGGAGAGGAGUGACACUGUUCAGCAGUCAGAUCCUACAGAGCUUUUCUGCUGCAGGGAUGUCUUACUUGCUACAUUUGCUCUUCAUGAUCUACUCAGCUUGUUCUGUGCAAGGGUUUGAUGUUUUCCAGACACCAAAGGAGGCUUUCAGUCUGGAAGGAAGAGAAACGGUUCUGUCUUGUUCUCACAAUGAUCUCAGUGCCAGUGCAAUGUACUGGUUUCAGCAGCUAAAAGGGCAGGGCAUCAAGUUAAUGGUCUAUUCAGUUGUGGGUAGCAACCCUGAGUUUGAAAAAGACUUCAAAGAAGAGAGAUACACUUUUGAGAGACCAGAUAUUAAACAUGGAGCUUUAAAGAUCAAA